AAACUGUCUGGCAUAGUGGAGCUCCGCCGGCGGAGGCUGGAGCCGGGGGAGCGGAGAGGCGGGUGGCAGCAUCUCUGGGCCACAGGAACCUUCUCACAUGGACCUCUGGGACUUAGCAACUGGGAGCAUGGCUUGAAGCUUCACCCAUAUCCAAGUCAUCAGAAAUACAAGAGCGGCGACGAUCAUCUUGCUGUCUUCACAGGAACAACUGCCUGCAGUGCCCUGUAGCUGAGAAGGGCUCUCUUCUCCCUUUUUUCCUACAGUCGUGACAUUUGGUGAAAAGCACUUCUGACGCCCUGGCCAGUUUCCAGGAGCCCAGAUCUGGGGCUGUGUGUCAGGAAUGUGUGUCUGUGAGCAUUCCAGGUUCUCAGCCUGUGUGUCUCCCAACACGGCCUGCCGGUAACUCCUGUCAUGACUGGAGUGUCUGCACAAUGAGCUCCCGGGAGAGACCCGACAUUGAUUUAAGC
ensembl:lncRNA